CGAUGCACCUUUCCAUUGGCUAAACCUUUGUUGUUUCCAAUCGGCUCUGUUGUAAGCCUCAACGAAAAGCCGAUUCUAAUUAGUUGUCCACCUACAGCUCUAUUUAAGUUUAACUUCAAAUCUUUUGAUUGUUAUGUGAAUAGUGUGUGAUAUGAGUUGUUUUUAUUUUACCAUCAAAAUAUAUAUUGAAUAGAUGGACUAAAUAUGCAAAAGAGAUUUUUUUUGUUGAGAAACAUGGGAUCGAGAAGGAGAAUUUGACCACUCAAGCUGCACGUAUCUCACGAAAGGCGACAUCUGUUGCAUUGAAAUGUUCUUUGUCGAAAGAGCUUCUUGAUGAUUUAGAGAAUGCCAUACAUAAACUGGACUUGGAUGCAAAUAAUUCUACCUCCAGUUUCGGCUUACUGUUCUACAAAUAACAGGCAAGAUAUCAUUUAGAGUUCCACGUGUAGUAAAAGGACCAAAGAAAAAAAGAUCCGCCACAUCCCUUGAAAAGAGAAAGGGGAAGAAAAAUAAAAGUGCCAACAAAGACAAAGGUGCUGAUCCAAAACAAACAAUGGUAAGACACCUACUUUGUAUCAUUUAUUAUAUCAUUUGUAUACUGUACUUACUUACAUGCAAAGUUAAUGUACGAUUUUAUAUUAAGUGACAUGUAGGGUCUUGAUGUCAAUACAAUUGAAGCUAAUACCAUGUCUAAUGAUAUGUAUGGUCAACCUUCAACUACGGCAGUUCCAUCAAUGCCGGGCUUUAAUAUGCACAUGAAUUCUUUUAUGAUGGAUGCUCUUGGUAUACAAGGAGAAUAUACAAGUUUCUUAUUUGGAGUUGAUAAAGAUGCUGCGUCAGCUAUUAGGAAAUUAUAUUUUGAUGGAGUGCUAGAUAAUGAAAAUAUAUGACUAGUCCCUUUGACUUUUAUUUGCUAUAAGGAAUCAAACAUUUCAGAUUUUAGAUGAGAGAUGCAAGUUUCAUGUUUAAAUUUCCCUUUUAUUUUAUUUGUAAUACGACAGAAUCAUUUAGAUUGAAGUUGAUGGAAUGGGACUGUCCGUUUCUUUACUACUAAAUCUCUGUCACUAUGAUGGUUCAGUUUUAGUGUGAGCUGAUGUAUUUGGACUGCUUGUAUGUUUCUUCUCGGCAACUUAAGUUAUAUAAUCUGUCACUAUGAUGGUUCAGUUUUAGUGUGAGCUGAUAUAUUUGGACUGCUUGUAUGUUUCUUCUCGGCAACUUAAGUUACAUAAUCUAAAGGACAGCAGCAAAGCUGUGGCAACAAAGCAAGGCCAAAGCUACGUACAGAUAACUAAAAAGGCAACAAACAACUUAAUUAGGUGUCUAGCAACAAACUACCUCGGGCCUAAUGAAAAAGACGGAAGCUAUCUACUACCAGGCCAGCCACAUGAACUGCAGCAAGCAGUGUUCGAGUUGGGAGCGGCUCCUAUCCCGCCUGAUGUGCCGGUACCAUCUGUUCAUGAUCUUGCCGAUCAGGUCGCAGAUGUGCUUGACUUCUUGUGGUACUGCAUGAUGAUAUUAGUCUCCAUGGCAUUGUAAGGGUUCUUCCCUGUACAGAGUAGUGCAAGAACUUGUCUUUGAAGUGAAUGUCUCACUUCAUCGUCAUGAAGAGGAACAUAAACGCUUGAAGCUAACUGACACAUUUUGGAGCUUCGUUUGA